AACGAACGCUGGCGGCGCGUCUUAAGCAUGCAAGUCGAACGGCAAGAGAGGAGCUUGCUUCUCUCCUAGAGUGGCGGACUGGUGAGGAACACGUGGGUAAUCUACCCUUAAGAUGGGGAUAGCUGCUAGAAAUAGCAGGUAAUACCGAAUACACUCGGCAUAUCACAAGAGGUGUUGAGGAAAGGAAGCUACGGCUUCGCUUGAGGAUGAGCUUGCGUCCCAUUAGCUAGUUGGUGAGGUAAAGGCCCACCAAGGCGACGAUGGGUAUCCGGCCUGAGAGGGUGAACGGAAACAUUGGGACUGAGAUACGGCCCAAACUCCUACGGGAGGCAGCAGCUAAGAAUAUUCCGCAAUGGACGGAAGUCUGACGGAGCGACGCCGCGUGGAUGAAGAAGGCUGAAAAGUUGUAAAAUCCUUUUGUUGAUGAAGAAUAAGGGUGAGAGGGAAUGCUCAUCUGAUGACGGUGAUCGACGAAUAAGCCCCGGCUAAUUACGUG
rnacentral:rRNA from 1 species